ncrna:unclassified sequences S4-Fusobacteriales ribosomal protein leader
CUGUAAAGAUAUGUAGAGAGCUGUAGAGCCUUAAUCCCAAAUGGGGUCAUAUCGAGGAA